rnacentral:rRNA from 1 species
AUUGAACGCUGGCGGCAUGCCUUACACAUGCAAGUCGAACGGUAACAGGUCUUCGGAUGCUGACGAGUGGCGAACGGGUGAGUAAUACAUCGGAACGUGCCUAGUAGUGGGGGAUAACUACUCGAAAGAGUGGCUAAUACCGCAUGAGAUCUACGGAUGAAAGCAGGGGAUCGCAAGACCUUGUGCUACUAGAGCGGCCGAUGGCAGAUUAGGUAGUUGGUGGGAUAAAAGCUUACCAAGCCGACGAUCUGUAGCUGGUCUGAGAGGACGAUCAGCCACACUGGGACUGGGACACGGCCCAGACUCCUACGGGAGGCAGCAGUGGGUAAUUCUGGACAAUGGGCGCAAGCCUGAUCCAGCAAUGCCGCGUGCAGGAUGAAGGCCUUCGGGUUGUAAACUGCUUUUGUACGGAACGAAAAGCCCUGGGUUAAUACCCUGGGGUCAUGACGGUACCGUAAGAAUAAGCACCGGCUAACUACGUGCCAGCAGCCGCGGUAA